UUUGUCUGGCCAGGAGUAAAUCCCUUGGAACAGGGUAUCAGAGAGGGUGACAAUCCCGUUCGCCUCUUGGCUUUGGCAAUUGUAGACCGUGUAACGGAGUCGAGUUGCUUGGGAUUGCAGCUCAAAGCGGGUGGUAAAUUCCAUCUAAGGCUAAAUACGGGGGGGAGAC
rnacentral:rRNA from 1 species